rnacentral:rRNA from 1 species
AGGACGAACGCUGGCGGCGUGCUUAACACAUGCAAGUCGUGGGCAUCUCGCAAGGGAUGACCGGCGAACGGGUGCGUAACACGUGAGCGACCUACCGAUGCGCGGGGGAUAGCCGGCCCAACGGCCGGGUAAUACCGCAUACGCCAUUCUAGCUGCAUGGCUUGAAUGGGAAACCUCCGGGGCGGAUCGAGGGGCUCGCGACCUAUCAGCUAGUUGGCGGGGUAACGGCCCACCAAGGCGACGACGGGUAGCUGGU